rnacentral:rRNA from 1 species
AUUGAACGCUAGCGGGAUGCUUUACACAUGCAAGUCGAACGGCAGCGCGGACUUCGGUCUGGCGGCGAGAGGCGAACGGGUGAGUAAUGUAUCGGAACGUGCCCAGUAGCGGGGGAUAACUACGCGAAAGCGUAGCUAAUACCGCAUACGCCCUACGGGGGAAAGCAGGGGAUCGUAAGACCUUGCACUCUUGGAGCGGCCGAUAUCGGAUUAGCUAGUUGGUGAGGUAACGGCUCACCAAGGCGACGAUCCGUAGCUGGUUUGAGAGGACGACCAGCCACACUAGGACUGGAACACGGCCCAGACUCCUGCGGGAGGCAGCAGUGGGGAAUGUUGGGCAAUGGGGGCAACCCUGAUCCAGCCAUCCCGCGUGUGCGAUGAAGGCCUUCGGUUUGUAAAGCACUUUUGGCAGGAAAGAAACGUCGCGGGCUAAUACCCCGUGGAACUGACGGUACCUGCAGAAUAAGCACCGGCUAACUACGUG